rnacentral:tRNA from 1 species
CGGGGUGUGGCUCAGCCCGGCAGAGCGCCUGCUUUGGGAGCAGGAGGUCCCGCGUUCGAAUCGCGGCAUCCCGACCA